rnacentral:rRNA from 1 species
GACGAACGCUGGCGGCGUGCUUAACACAUGCAAGUCGAACGGAAAGGCCCUGCUUUUGUGGGGUGCUCGAGUGGCGAACGGGUGAGUAACACGUGAGUAACCUGCCCUUGACUUUGGGAUAACUUCAGGAAACUGGGGCUAAUACCGGAUAGGAGCUCCUGCUGCAUGGUGGGGGUUGGAAAGUUUCGGCGGUUGGGGAUGGACUCGCGGCUUAUCAGCUUGUUGGUGGGGUAGUGGCUUACCAAGGCUUUGACGGGUAGCCGGCCUGAGAGGGUGACCGGCCACAUUGGGACUGAGAUACGGCCCAGACUCCUACGGGAGGCAGCAGUGGGGAAUAUUGCACAAUGGGCGGAAGCCUGAUGCAGCGACGCCGCGUGCGGGAUGACGGCCUUCGGGUUGUAAACCGCUUUCGCCUGUGACGAAGCGUGAGUGACGGUAAUGGGUAAAGAAACACCGGCUAACUACGUG